GAGAUAUGAUGAGUGGUCUAGUCUCCCAUUAAAUAUGCGAGUUGGGUGUCUGCCCCAAGCCAAGUUACGACAAUUUGGAACUCUCCUUUGACCAAUUUGAUAUA